GGGCGCGUAACUCAGCGGUUUAGAGUGCUUCCCUUACAAGGAAGAGGUCAGAGGUUCAAAUCCUCUCGCGCCCACCA
rnacentral:tRNA from 1 species